rnacentral:rRNA from 1 species
GAUGAGGUAGCCGGCUCUGAGAGGGUGAACCGGCCACAGCUGGGAUUGAGAGGGCGGCCCAGACUCACUUGGGGAGGCAGCACGUCGAGAGAUCUUCCACAAUGGACGAAAGUGGGGAUGGAUUGGGCAAUGGGUGAGUGAUGAAGGCCCUACGGGUUGUAAAACUGAAUCAAUCGAGAAGAACCGCCGGGAUGCCAAUACCAAAGAGGUGAAGAGUUAUAUCCAGAGGAAGCUCCGGCUAACUCCGUGCCAGCAGCCGCGGUAAUACGGGGGGAGCAAGCGUUGUCCGGAAUUAUUGGGGGUAAAAAGCGCGUACGGGGUUAGUUCAAUGGAAUUAGAAAUCGCAGGGGUCUCCCGUGCAAUAGAUUUAGAUAUAGCGUGAAUUGAGUAUAUGAGAGAGGGAAGGAAUUUUCGGUGUGUCGGUGGAAAGUGUGGAGAUCUGGAGGAACACCGCAGGGGAGGGCAGCGCUUCGGCGCACAAUAGACGCGGUCACGUGAAAAAGCGGGGACCAAACAGGAGAAGAGACCCCGGUAGAGCACGCGCUAAAAGAUGGGUAUUGGGUUUCGGGAGUUUCCACCCUAUCGGAGCCGCAGCUAACGCGUUAA